ensembl:lncRNA
AUUCAACGUGGAAUAAACAGAUAAACAAACAUAUGGUAAACGUGAAGCUCACUUUUUUUCUCCCCCCUUCCCUUUCAGACCUAAAGGAGUGGCGCAAUGGAAACCAGGGUCCUGAGGAUAGAGUUUACCCUUCUAAUCUCUCUGUAAUGAACGGAAGUCAGCAGGAACCACUCACAGGUCUGAUAAUGUGGGGGCAUAAUGGCUGAGCUGUUCUUUGAGCUCGUCCAAUCAGUGGGCGCUGCUGGCCGCCACGGCCGCUGCAUGUGGAAACAGAUAUCCACAGGCGCAGCGAGUGGAACCGCGCCACUGCCUGUCAUUAGCGGGAGGGCAGAAAGAAAGUGGAAAUAUACGUGACCCGGGAUUAGGAUUCGGAAAAAAAAACAACACAAAACAACAGAGGACACGAGUAAUACCGCAAGGAACCCGUCCUACUUUCUAUUGCAUCACAGGAGGCGAUUAAUAGGCGCUGUCUAUGCAGGACGACCUCCCUGGCUUAAACCCCCGGGCUUAAAGUUCGGAUUUGGAAAAAAGCAGGCGAACAUUGAAAAAGAAAAAGAAAAGAGAAACGUAUCAAUCUGCAAAAUCCAUAAUGCGAUAAACAAACGCGUUCCGCCGUUUUCUUUAUGAAACGUGGUCCGAGCGUGUUCUCUGGAACAGCCCCAGCCGAAGGAGUUAAAGUGUUGUUCAACACGAGGCCAGCGGGGUGAUACACAGGCAGGCCUGCUAUGACGUCAUUGCCGGCAUCCAGGCAGCUGUGGGAAAGCAGAGACUCCACCCCCUCUCCUUCCUGUUCCCGCCCCGGCUCCGUUGCUAUUGGUCGUUGGGGACAAGCCUGCGGUUCUGUGGGAUCCUCCCGUGUCAAAAGACAAGUUUUACCAGCGUCUCACUUGCCAAAACCCCUCAAUUUGUCACUUCCCCGAGUCAGAUAGUGUGUUCUGGCGCAUGCAAGGUGCUAGGGAAGGUAGAGCAGGUGGAAAAGGCAGGGAGAGAGAGAGAGAGACCAGGAGAGAGACAUGGGGUGAAAGAAAGGGAGGGAAACAAGGAAGGAGAGAACGGGAGAGAGAGAGAGAGAGAGAGAGAGAGAGAGAGAGAGAGAGAGAGAGAGAGAGAGAGAGAGAGAGAGAGGGAAAGCUAGAGAGAGAGAGAGAGGGAAAGCUAGAGAGAGCGAGAAAGAGACUGGGAGAGACCAGAAUGAAGAGAGCCUGAGAGAGAGGGAGAGAGAGCGAGAGAGAGACCCUAGAGAUGGAGGACCUGUGGUCGGUGGCUUGCGGUGUCUCACAGGUGUGAAGAGUACCAAACCACCGAACUGACAGAGACAGAAACCAACACAGAACUAAAUCUACUGUUUAGGUAUUGUGUUACCUUGGUAAUUCCGACAGACGGUAUACUUGAAUGAUUGUAAUGACCACUGGUCAGCACAGUCUCACCCCAGGCCAGGCCCGGACCACAAGCCCCUUAAGUCCGCGAACCGGCGUGACCACACUAGUUAAACACACAUGCACACCACUCUCAUAGUUUCAGCAAAUCUUCAAUUCACCGAAUAUCCCCUGACUAUAAUGUCAAAGUACUGAUUGUACUGGGCAGAGCAAUGCCAGACCAUGAAGAGCCAUUAAGCUACUUUCUUUUCUGCACUGUAGUCACACUAUAUUAGCCACUAUGCUAUAAUAGAUCCACAGUUUCCCACAUGUUUCCUGUUAUAAUGUCUAUAUAAGACUGUAUACAAAGGAGCAUCCUAUUUCUGCCAUGAUAUAAAUCAUUUAAGGAUUAAAAAAUGUAGGGAAAGAAAUACUUUAAUACUAAAAAGUACUCGGAAUACUAGUCAAGUGUUUAUUUCUGGCACCUUCCCUUGCCCUGGCUUGUGAUUGGCUGAGCACUGUCAGACUCCAAAACACCAGGCGCUGUAGGGAAAGGCUUUUAAGUGUGUGUGUGUGUGUGUGUGUGUGUGUGUGUGUGUGUGUGUGUGUGUGUGUGUGUGUGUUUGUACAUUGCGCAGACACACACAAACACACACACACACACAUAUCUCCAAUUACUUAUCUGUAGUCUUCCCUCAUCUCGUGUUCACCAGAUGUUUCAAGAGCCAGAUGAGAGAGAUAGGGAGAGAGGGAAGGAAAAGAGAAGAAAGAAAAUAGCAUGUGUGUGUGUGUGUGUUGGUGCACACAGCGCCUGUAUGUUUGUGUGUGUGUGUGUGUGUGUGUGUGUGUGUGUGUGUGUGUGUGUGUGUGUGUGUGUGUGUGUGUGUGUGUGUGUGUGUGUGUGU